AGCGGGUGUGAGAGCAUGACCCGCCGCAUCGGAACUGAGACACUGUCCGGACUCCUACGGGAGGCUGCAGUAACGAAUAUUCCGCAAUGAGCGAAAGCUUGACGGAGCAAUGCCGCGUGUAGGAUGAAUCUUUUCGGAGUGUAAACUACUGUCAGAGACUAGGAACUCAAUGACCAAUCUCAAAGGAAGGGCCGGCUAACUUCGUGCCAGCAGCCGCGGUAAUACGAAGGGCCCGAGCGUUAUUCGGAAUCACUGGGCUUAAAGCGUACGUAGGCUGGUAUAUAGGCAUUUUGUGAAAUCCCUCGGCUCAACCGAGGAACUGCAGAGUGAACCAUAUAUCUUGAGACAGACAGAGGUCGUCGGAACGAUUGGUGGAGUGGUGAAAUGCGUUGAUAUCAAUCGGAACGCCGAAGGAGAAGUCAGGCGACUGGGUCUGUUCUGACGCUGAGGUACGAAAGCGUGGGUAGCGAACGGGAUUAGAUACCCCGGUAGUCCACGCCGUAAACAAUGUGCACUAGGUCGAGGGCGUUCUGACGCGACUCUCGGCCGAAGCGAAAGUGUUAAGUGCACCGCCUGGGGAGUACGGUCGCAAGGCUAAAACUCAAAGGAAUUGACGGGGGCUCACACAAGCGGUGGAGCAUGUGGCUUAAUUCGAAGCAACGCGAAGAACCUUAUCCUAGGUUUGACAUACACGGAUUAGCUAUAAGAAACUAUAGUGACACCUUCGGGUGGAACGUGAACAGGUGCUGCAUGGCUGUCGUCAGCUCGUGCUGUGAAGUGUCGGGUUAAGUCCCUUAACGAGCGCAACCCUUAUCGUUAGUUGCUAACAGGUAAUGCUGAGGACUCUAGCGAGACUGCCGGUGUUAAACCGGAGGAAGGUGGGGAUGACGUCAAGUCCGCAUGGCCUUUAUGCCUAGGGCUGCACACGUGCUACAAUGGCAAGUACAAAACGAAGCAAUACCGCGAGGUGGAGCAAAUCGCUAAAGCUUGCCCCAGUUCGGAUUGCAGGCUGCAACUCGCCUGCAUGAAGUUGGAAUCGCUAGUAAUCGCGGA
rnacentral:rRNA from 1 species